CCUACGGGUGGCAGCAGUGGGGGAUAUUGCACAAUGGGGGAAACCCUGAUGCAGCGACGCCGCGUGUGGGAAGACGGUCCUCUGGAUUGUAAACCACUGUCCCCAGGGACGAAGAUGACGGAACCUGGGGAGGAAGCUCCGGCUAACUACGUGCCAGCAGCCGCGGUAAUACGGAGGGAGCGAGCGUUGUCCGGAAUGACGGGGUGGAAAGGGAGCGUAGGCGGGGAUGCAAGUUGGGUGUCAAAACUACCGGCUCAACUGGUAGUCGCACUCCAAACUGCAGCUCUUGAGUGAAGUAGAGGCAGGCGGACUUCCUAGUGUAGCGGUGAACUGCGUAGAUAUUAGGCG
rnacentral:rRNA from 1 species